rnacentral:misc_RNA from 1 species
GAUGAAGAACGCAGCGAAAUGCGAUACGUAAUGUGAAUUGCAGAAUUCAGUGAAUCAUCGAGUCUUUGAACGCACAUUGCGCCCCCUGGUAUUCCGGGGGGCAUGCCUGUCCGAGCGUCAUUGCUGCCCUCAAGCACGGCUUGUGUGUUGGGCCUCCGUCCUCCUCCCGGGGGACGGGCCCGAAAGGCAGCGGCGGCACCGCGUCCGGUCCUCGAGCGUAUGGGGCUUCGUCACCCGCUCUUGUAGGCCCGGCCGGCGCUUGCCGACACAUCAAUCUUUUUUCCAGGUUGACCUCGGAUCAGGUAGGGUUACCCGCUGAACUUAAGCAUAUCAAUAAGCGGAGGA